rnacentral:rRNA from 1 species
UACGUAGGGUGCAAGCGUUGUCCGGAAUUAUUGGGCGUAAAGAGCUCGUAGGCGGUUUGUCGCGUCUGCUGUGAAAACGCGAGGCUCAACCUCGCGCCUGCAGUGGGUACGGGCAGACUAGAGUGCGGUAGGGGAGAUUGGAAUUCCUGGUGUAGCGGUGGAAUGCGCAGAUAUCAGGAGGGAACACCGAUGGCGAAGGCAGAUCUCUGGGCCGUAACUGACGCUGAGGAGCGAAAGCGUGGGGAGCGAACAGG